GAGUUUGAUCGUGGCUCAGAUUGAACGCUGGCGGCAGGCCUAACACAUGCAAGUCGAGCGGAUGACGGGAGCUUGCUCCUUGAUUCAGCGGCGGACGGGUGAGUAAUGCCUAGGAAUCUGCCUGGUAGUGGGGGACAACGUUUCGAAAGGAACGCUAAUACCGCAUACGUCCUACGGGAGAAAGCAGGGGACCUUCGGGCCUUGCGCUAUCAGAUGAGCCUAGGUCGGAUUAGCUAGUUGGUGGGGUAAUGGCUCACCAAGGCGACGAUCCGUAACUGGUCUGAGAGGAUGAUCAGUCACACUGGAACUGAGACACGGU
rnacentral:rRNA from 1 species